rnacentral:tRNA from 1 species
GUUUAUAUAAUUUAAAUAAGAUAUUAGACUGUGAUUCUAACUAUGAGAGUUCAAACCUCUCU